rnacentral:rRNA from 1 species
AUGAACGCUGGCGGCGUGCCUAAUACAUGCAAGUCGAGCGAACAGACGAGGAGCUUGCUCUCUGACGUUAGCGGCGGACGGGUGAGUAACACGUGGAUAACCUACCUAUAAGACUGGGAUAACUUCGGGAAACCGAGCUAAUACCAGAUAACAUGUUGAACCGCAUGGUUCAACAGUGAAGGACGGUCUUGCUGUCACUUAUAGAUGGAUCCGCGCCGCAUUAGCUAGUUGGUAAGGUAACGGCUUACCAAGGCAACGAUGCGUAGCCGACCUGAGAGGGUGAUCGGCCACACUGGAACUGAGACACGGUCCAGACUCCUACGGGAGGCAGCAGUAGGGAAUCUUCCGCAAUGGGCGAAAGCCUGACGGAGCAACGCCGCGUGAGUGAAGAAGGUCUUCGGAUCGUAAAACUCUGUUAUUAGGGAAGAACAAAUGUGUAAGUAACUAUGCACGUCUUGACGGUACCUAAUCAGAAAGCCACGGCUAACUACGUG